AUUGAACGCUGGCGGAAUGCUUUACACAUGCAAGUCGAACGGUAGAGGGGGCAACCCCUUCGAGAGUGGCGAACGGGUGAGUAAUAUAUCGGAACGUGCCCAGUCGUGGGGAUAACGUAGCGAAAGUUACGCUAAUACCGCAUACGAUCUAAGGAUGAAAGCGGGGGAGUCGCAAGACCUCGCGCGAUUGGAGCGGCCGAUAUCAGAUUAGGUAGUUGGUGAGGUAAAGGCUCACCAAGCCAACGAUCUGUAGCUGGUCUGAGAGGACGACCAGCCACACUGGAACUGAGACACGGUCCAGACUCCUACGGGAGGCAGCAGUGGGGAAUUUUGGACAAUGGACGCAAGUCUGAUCCAGCCAUUCCGCGUGCAGGAUGAAGGCCCUCGGUUGUAAACUGCUUUUGUACGGAACGAAACGGUGAGCUCUAAUACAGUUUGCUAAUGACGGUACCGUAAGAAUAAGCACCGGCUAACUACGUGCCAGCAGCCGCGGU
rnacentral:rRNA from 1 species